GACGAACGCUGGCGGCGUGCCUAAUACAUGCAAGUCGAGCGAAGUUUUUCUGGUGCUUGCACCGGAAAAACUUAGCGGCGAACGGGUGAGUAACACGUAAAGAACCUGCCUCAUAGACUGGGACAACUAUUGGAAACGAUAGCUAAUACCGGAUAACAGCAUUAACUGCAUGGUUGAUGUUUAAAAGUUGGUUUUGCUAACACUAUGAGAUGGCUUUGCGGUGCAUUAGCUAGUUUGUGGGGUAAAGGCCUACCAAGGCGACGAUGCAUAGCCGACCUGAGAGGGUGAUCGGCCACACUGGGACUGAGACACGGCCCAGACUCCUACGGGAGGCAGCAGUAGGGAAUCUUCCGCAAUGGGCGAAAGCCUGACGGAGCAACGCCGCGUGAGUGAAGAAGGAUUUCGGUUCGUAAAGCUCUGUUGUUAGGGAAGAAUGAUUGUGUAGUAACUAUACACAGUAGAGACGGUACCUAACCAGAAAGCCACGGCUAACUACGUG
rnacentral:rRNA from 1 species